UGCCAGUGAUAAACUGGAGGAAGGUGGGGAUGACGUCAAGUCAUCAUGGCCCUUACGACCAGGGCUACACACGUGCUACAAUGGCGCAUACAAAGAGAAGCGACCUCGCGAGAGCAAGCGGACCUCAUAAAGUGCGUCGUAGUCCGGAUUGGAGUCUGCAACUCGACUCCAUGAAGUCGGAAUCGCUAGUAAUCGUGGAUCAGAAUGCCACGGUGAAUACGUUCCCGGGCCUUGUACACACCGCCCGUCACACCAUGGGAGUGGGUUGCAAAAGAAGUAGGUAGCUUAACCUUCGGGAGGGCGC
rnacentral:rRNA from 1 species